rnacentral:rRNA from 1 species
UUGAACGCUGGCGGUAUGCUUAACACAUGCAAGUCGAACGGAAACGAUACUAGCUUGCUAGUAGGCGUCGAGUGGCGGACGGGUGAGUAACGCGUAGGAAUCUGCCUGAUAGUGGGGGAUAGCCCGAAGAAAUUCGGAUUAAUACCGCAUAAUCUAUUCGUAGUAAAGUGGGGGACUUUCGAGCCUCACGCUAUCAGAUGAGCCUGCGUAAGAUUAGCUUGUUGGUAGGGUAAAAGCCUACCAAGGCGACGAUCUUUAGCUGGUCUGAGAGGAUGAUCAGCCACAUCGGGACUGAGACACGGCCCGAACUCCUACGGGAGGCAGCAGUGGGGAAUAUUGGACAAUGGGGGCAACCCUGAUCCAGCAAUACCGCGUGUGUGAAGAAGGCCUGAGGGUUGUAAAGCACUUUCAAUUGUGAAGAAAAGUUAGCGGUUAAUAACCGUUAGCCUUGACGUUAACUUUAGAAGAAGCACCGGCUAACUCCGUGCCGGCAGCCGCGGUAAUACGGAGGGUGCAAGCGUUAAUCGGAAUUACUGGGCGUAAAGCGUGCGUAGGCGGUUUAUUAAGUCAGAUGUGAAAGCCCCGGGCUUAACCUGGGAACUGCAUUUGAAACUGGUCAACUAGAGUAUGGUAGAGGAAAGUGGAAUUUCUGGUGUAGCGGUGAAAUGCGUAGAUAUCAGAAGGAACAUCAAUGGCGAAGGCAGCUUUCUGGACCAAUACUGACGCUGAGGUACGAAAGCGUGGGUAGCAAACAGGAUUAGAUACCCUGGUAGUCCACGCCGUAAACGAUGAUAACUAGCCGUUGGGGGGAUUUACCCUUUAGUGGCGAAGCUAACGCGUUAAGUUAUCCGCCUGGGGAGUACGGCCGCAAGGUUAAAACUCAAAGGAAUUGACGGGGACCCGCACAAGCGGUGGAGCAUGUGGUUUAAUUCGAUGCAACGCGAAGAACCUUACCUGGUCUUGACAUCCUGCGAACUUUCUAGAAAUAGAUUGGUGCCUUCGGGAACGCAGUGACAGGUGCUGCAUGGCUGUCGUCAGCUCGUGUCGUGAGAUGUUGGGUUAAGUCCCGUAACGAGCGCAACCCCUAUCCUUAUUUGCCAGCACAUCAUGGUGGGAACUAUAAGGAGACUGCCGGUGAUAAACCGGAGGAAGGCGGGGACGACGUCAAGUCAUCAUGGCCCUUACGACCAGGGCUACACACGUGCUACAAUGGGAAGGACAAAGAGCCGCGAAGCCGCGAGGUGUAGCUAAUCUCAUAAACCUUUUCGUAGUCCGGAUUGGAGUCUGCAACUCGACUCCAUGAAGUCGGAAUCGCUAGUAAUCGUAGAUCAGAAUGCUACGGUGAAUACGUUCCCGGGUCUUGUACACACCGCCCGUC